UUGGAGGGCAAGUCUGGUGCCAGCAGCCGCGGUAAUUCCAGCUCCAAUAGCGUAUAUUAAAGUUGUUGCAGUUAAAAAGCUCGUAGUUGAAUUUCGGGGUCAGCAGGUUGGUCGUGCCAAUGGUAUGAACUGGCCUUGCUGAUUCCUCCCUCUUGAUGAGCCGUAAUGCCAUUAAUUUGGUGUUGCGGGGAAUCAGGACUGUUACUUUGAAAAAAUUAGAGUGUUUAAAGCAGGCAAGCGCUUGAAUACAUUAGCAUGGAAUGAUGAAAUAGGACGUUUGAUCCUAUUUUGUUGGUUUCUAGGAUUGACGUAAUGAUUAAUAGGGAUAGUUGGGGGCAUUAGUAUUCAAUUGUCAGAGGUGAAAUUCUUGGAUUUAUUGAAGACUAACUACUGCGAAAGCAUUUGCCAAGGAUGUUUUCAUUAAUCAAGAACGAAAGUUAGGGGAUCGAAGACGAUCAGAUACCGUCGUAGUCUUAACCAUAAACUAUGCCGACUAGGGAUCGGAUGAUGUUAAUUUUUUAAUGACUCAUUCGGCACCUUACGGGAAAC
rnacentral:rRNA from 1 species